rnacentral:lncRNA from 1 species
ACAGUGGUAGUAGCAUAGAAAUAGUAAUAGUAGUAGCAAUGGCAGUAGCAGUAGCAAUAAUAGCAGUAGUAAUAGCAGCAGUAACAGUAGUAGAAGUCGUAAUAAUAGCAGCAGUAACAGCAGCAGUAGUAGUAGCAAUAACAGUAUUAGCAGUAGUCGUAAUAACAGUGAUAGUAGUAGUAGUAGCAGGAGUAGUAGUAGUAACAGUAGCAGUAUUAGCAGCAGCAGUAGUAGUAGUAGUAACAGUAGUAGUAGUAAUAAAAAUAAUAGCAGUAACAGUAGUACCUGCUAUAGUUGUAGUAUCGGUAAUAACAACAGUAAAAGUAAUAGUAGUAAUAGCAGUAGCAGUAGAUUAGUAGUAGUAGUAAUACUAGUACCUAUAAAUACUCAUGUACUUGAAAGCUUUUAAUAUCAACCACAAAUCAAAACUUGAGUUUCUCAAUUAGUCUCUCUUAGUUUUUCCGCUCAUAU